CCUUGGCCACGAGUUUCCUGCUAUGAUCUGAUCAAGAGAUGACCGGACUUCCUGGAUUGGACAGGGCUGGCACAGCUGGAGGGAGACUGAAGGAGCCCUACAGCUGAGAGUGGGAACUGGCCUCUUAGGGCAGCCUUGGAACAACCGCAGGGAGCACGCAAAGGGGAAAUCAGUGCAAAAUGGACUAAAGCUGCUGCUGAAACAUCCCCAUUUCCGCUUCUCGCCUGACAGGCUGCAGAAGAACAUCCAUGUUUCACUCCAGGUCGUCCUGUCCUCCCAGAGGGCAGGAAAAGGGAACGGCUGCAGCAAAGGCAGUGACCUUCGAGGAGGUGGCUGUGUAUUUCACCGCAGAAGAGUGGGCUCUGCUGGACCCCGCUCAGAGAGCCCUCUACUGGGACAUCAUGCAGGAGAAUUAUGAGAAUGUGACCUGGCUGGCAGGUGAUGGGACAACCAGUGAGAACGAGGAGGAGAAUCCCCAGCAGGGAGGUCCUGAGUUGGCAGAACCACCUGUGAGGUUCGUGGGAAGGUCCAAGGGGAACGUUUGCCACGGAGAAGCUAGCGAGAGUCAGGGCAGGUCGGAGAAGCAGUGGGGAAACCUGCCCGGGGAGAGAGAGGAUAAAUCCUCUCCUGAAGAGGGAUGUUUCAAGAAACUCACACAGCUCCUGGACCUUAAGAGGAAGUACAACAGAGGAUCGGGAAAAGCAGGCGCUGAGCGUGGGCAGAGCUCACGAGAGAUGUUCCAUCUGGGAACCCCCCUGGAAGAGGCAUCCCACGGAUGCGGGGAAAGCCCCUGGCAGAACUCGGUGCCUCCACAACAUCAGAGCGCAGCCCUCACUAUCCAGCAGAGAAUCCGCUCAGAGCAGAAACCCUGCCAGUGCCCCGACUGCGGGAGAAGCGUUGUUCGGAGGUCGACCCUCAGGGCACAUCAGAGGCUCCACACGGGAAGGAAGCCCUACAAAUGCCCUGACCUGCACAGGAAACCUUUCCCGCAUCCAGAAUCCAGGAAACACUUUGCCGAGAAUUCGGCCCAGACAAAACACCAGCAGUUCCACCCGGGAGAGAGCCCCUAUGCAUGUCCAGACUGCGGGAAAGGAUUCAGCCUACGCUUCAACCUCGCGAUGCAUCGGAGGGUCCACACGAGCAGGCGUCCCUUUUUGUGUCCUGACUGUGGAAUGGGCUUCAACCUGAGAGCCAAGCUCACCAUGCACCAGAGGGCCCAUGUGGGGGAGCGACCCAACUGCACUAAAAGCUUCAGCCGGUGAGCACCCCUGGAGCAGCCUGGGAGAGCGCAUGCGGGGGAAAGCCUCGUGUCUGCACCAGCUCUAGGAAAAGAUUCAUCAAUUCCUUUGCUCUGAUUGAGCACCAGAGGGGCCACAUGGGAGAGAGGCCUGACAAACACCACGAGGGGGAGAAAAGCUUUAGCCAGUGCUCCAACCUGGCCCAGCGCUCUCCAGCCCCAGAGGAGGGGCCCUGCUGCAAAGGCACAGGCCUGCCAAAACAUCGGGCAGCAGAGAGACCCUACCGCUGCCUCGACUGCGGCAGGACCUUCAGCAGACGCACCAAUCUGCUCUCCCACGGGUGUGGCUACACUGACGAGCAGCCCUACAGGUGCUCAUACUGCGGGAAGAGCUUUAGCCUGCAUUUCAACCUUGCGAUGCAUGGGAGAGUCCAUGCUGGCAAGCAGCGCAAUCCAUGCUCCAACUCAGGCAGCAGCUUCAACCAGAGGUCCUACCUCAUGGUGCACUUGAGACUCCACGUCAAUCAGUCUUCAGAGGAGCAGGUGGAACCUCACCCGGCUCACUCCCAGGUUGGACGAGUUGGAUUGACUGCACAGAUACAUUUGAAUCGGCCCCCUCCGAAGGAAGGAACCUGCAUGAGACAAGCCCCACCCGAUGGGCUGGGAAUCCAGAUGCCCCCUCAGUCUCCAGCACUGAAGCCAGAGAGUGACAAGGACUCUGUUACCUCCCCAGGCAUCCUCUUUAUCUGCCUUAUCUUGCAUGGAGAUGACAGACUGUCUGCCCCCCUCCACCAUGCACCACCUCCCAGAGGAUAAUUAAAGUCUCAGCUGGGAUCAGCAUCCCUAACCCUGCAGAAACCAGCCUUUUCCUGAGAUAGCAGUUGCCAGCAGAGAAUAGGGUGACCAGAUAGUAAGUGUGAAAAAUCAGGAUGGGGGUGGGGGGUAAUAAAGCCACAAAUAUUGGGACUGUCCCUAUAAAAUCGGGACAUCUGGUCACCCUAGCAGAGAAGGGGUUAACACGAUGACACCCUGUAACCACAACAGCUGAUUUCUUAACUCCCGCUAAACCCUGACCCUGGGAUUUCUUGAGUAGUGGGGUCAUAGUGUCUUCGUGCUUUUCCAUCCCCUUAGAACAGCUGCGGUGGCCCCAUGGGCUUAGUUCUGCCUGAAACAGGCCAGGCUCUGGGCUGCGAGUUGCGGGGGCGUGAUGGGUCAUUGGGGUCCUCCCACUCCCAGAGUCCUGUGCCCUGAAGGAAGAGGAGUCACCCCAAUGGGCCUGGAUUGGGCUGAAACAGGGCCUCUGGGAAAGUCUCUCUGGGAUCGGAGUCUUGAACCCUGGAUCUUGGCUGGGCUUGGCCCUUCCAGCCCUGCAGGGCCCUAGGACCCCAGGUCCGAGCCCCAGAUAUUUGUGUGUAGAUGGACGGGGGGGUUGGACUCAAACCUGAGUCUGCACCUGGGCUUCCACUGUGUAGACACCGCACUAGGGAUCCAUUUGGUUGCAUGUUUCGUUGCUCCUCUAGGCCAAGUGAAAAGCACCCACUGCAGGCUCCUUGCAUAGCUCCAAGCUCCCCAUGAGCUCCCAUCCUCCUCAUGCUCGAUGUUUGUGUGCCCUCAUUCCCCGUUGCCAGGAAAUCUGUAUGCACCCCCCAUCCUGGGUAGGCUCUCCACCCCCACACCAUUCCCAUAGAGAGACAAAUGCCAUCCAGUCAAAUGUUAGACCAUGCUGUGCUCAGCCAAUUAAUGACCCACCUGGGCUGGACAACAUGGACGUCAGCAGCAGCAGAACACGAACAGAGCCCAGCUGUCCUGGGCCCAACCCACCGCCUUGACUGCCGGACCCUGCUGCUUAGUCCUCAAUGUGACGUCCCAUCUUCCCCACUUGGUUAUCCAUCCCCUCCCUGAUCCCUGCUGCUGCCCACCACCUCCCAGAGAAGUUAAUUAGAGCACCGAGGAGCCCUUCUGAUGGCGUAGCACCGCACUGCGCUAGGUGCUGUACAGGCACAAAACAAACAUCCCCUACCCCCAAAGGGACAGCAGUCAAAGAGCCAGUUGUCGCAGCUCAGGGGUAGGAAUAGCUUGGUGGUCUGAGCAUUGGCCUGCAAAUCCCAGGUUUGGGAGCUCAAUCCUUGAGGGGGCCAUUUAGGGAACUGGGGUAAAAAUCUGUCAGAUUGGUCCUGCUUUGAGCAGGGGGUUGGACUAGAUACCUCCUGAGGUCUCUUCCAACCCUGAUAUUCUAUGAACUGCACCUCUCUUGCCCCUUAGCAACUCAGCGAGGACACCCACUUUCAACCUUCCACCCUCCGUGGCCAGCACCUGUCUUGGCUCUGGGUCUCUCUCCCUUCUAACUGGGGUGUUCCCAGGCAUAGAUGCCAACUGUGUGGGUGCUUCAAGACUCAAGCACCCCCUGAAAAAAAAUAGGGAAUGCCUCAGCACCCAGGGCCGGAUUAAUCUUUUGUGGGCCCUGGCACUCUGCCCCUGUUCUGCCCCUUCUCCUGAGGACCCACCCCUACUCUGCCCCUUCCCCCAAAGGCCCUGCUGCACCCCACUCCGCCCCUUCCCCCUGAGGCCCUGCCCUGCCUCAUCUCUUCCCCCCCAAGGUCCCACCCUGCUCAGCCUCUUCCCCUGCAGGCCCAGCCCACUGCUCACACAGGAUGGGAGGGGCAGAGAGAAGCAUCCACCGGCAAAACCAAAAGUCCGAGCCUGUGUUCCCAGGCCAAACGCUACCCUGUGUAAUUCCCAGAACAGACAGACUGCCUAACAUGGGUGGUGGGUAUAAUACGUGAGGGGAGGUUGCCGACGAACGCCAGUUACGGGGUUUGGCAUGGGAAGUUUUUGCUUAUUAUUAUGCCCCAUGCAGGUUCCGGGGCGGCCGAGGAGGCGAUGGUAUGUGCUAUUCAGCUUCCUGGAUUCAUCAGUAAUCUCCUUGACUCCAGAGAGAUUACUGAUGAACCCGGGAAGCUGAGUAACACAUACCACCCGCUCAGCCGCCCCGGGAACCUACAUGGUGCAUAUCAAAAGCUCAGGUUCUUCUUCCAGAAGAGAAGAGGCAAGAGUUUUUCCCACAGAGCGACUUGGGGUCUGGGGAGGUGCAGCGCAG